AAAGUGUGAAAGCCACGUAUACGAAAUGAAUAGGACUCUUUGAUACGGUACCUGAGUAGGGCGGGGCACGAGAAACCCUGCUUGAAUCUGGGUCGACCACGAUCCAAGGCUAAAUACUCCGUAGCUACCGAUAGUGCAGAAGUACCGUGAGGGAAAGGCGAAAAGAACCCCGGUGAGGGGAGUGAAAUAGAACCUGAAACCAUACACUAACAAGAUGUUGUAGCCCGAGAGGGUGGCAGCGUGCCUUUUGUAGAAUGAGCCUGCGAGUUACGUUAUGCAGCGAGGUUAAGGAAUAGUAGUUCCGGAGCCGAAGGGAAACCGAGUCUGAAAAGGGCGAGCAUAGUUGCAUGACGUAGACCCGAAGCCAAGGUGAUCUAGUCAUGAGCAGGUUGAAGCUCAGGUAAAACUGAGUGGAGGACCGAACUAUAAUCUGUUAAAAAAGGUAUGGAUGACUUGUGACUCGGAGUGAAAGGCUAAACAAACCUGGAAAUAGCUGGCUCUCCCCGAAAUGCCUUUAGGGACAGCCUCAUACAAAACUUUCGGAGGUAAAGCACUGGAUGGACUAGGGGGCUUCACCGUCUACCAAACCCAAUCAAACUCUGAAUGCCGAAAGUCAACGUAUGGGAGUGAGACUGCGUGCGACAAGGUUCGUAGUCAAGAGGGAAACAGCCCAGACCGUCAGCUAAGGUCCCGAAAUACCGCUCAGUGUAAAAUGAGGUGCGAAUACAAAGACAGCCAGGAGGUUGGCUUAGAAGCAGCCAUUCCUUUAAAGAGUGCGUAAUAGCUCACUGGUCGAGUGUUCGUGCGCAGAUAAUGUAACGGGGCUAAGCGGUAUACCGAAGCUACGGAUCAGUAUCGUAAGGUACUGGUGGUAGGGGAGCAUUCCAUGGACCGAUGAAGGCGUACCUGUGAGGGGCGCUGGAGGGGAUGGAAGAGAGAAUGCAGGUAUAAGUACACGAAAAGAGGGGUGAGAUUCCCCUCCGCCGAAAACCUAAGGUUUCCUGGGUAAAGGUCAUCUGCCCAGGGUAAGUCGGCCCCUAAGGCGAGGACGAAAGUCGUAGUCGAUGGGAAUCUGGUUCAAAGUCCAGAACCUUUAUUAGUUUCGAGGGCAAGACGCAUGAGGUGAAACCCGGCCAGAGAAUGGUAGUUCUGGUCGAAGCACAAAGUUGAAGAGAGUUAUAGGCAAAUCCGUAACUUGAGGUGAUGUGUGACAGCGAGCGGAGAGAAAGUCGAAGUGAAGCGGGUGUAAUCAGGGUGCCGAGAAAUACUGUCUAAGGCUAGGCUAAUAGAGACCGUACCGGAAACCGACACAGGUAGGAAGGAUGAGAAAUCUAAGGCGCACGAGAGACCUCGCGUUAAGGAACUCGGCAAAAUGCACACGUAACUUCGGGAGAAGUGUGGCCCAAUUUGGUUAAAGAAGAGGGUGGCACAGAGCAGGCCCAGGCGACUGUUUAUCAAAAACACAGCCAUCUGCGAACCAGUAAUGGGACGUAUAGGUGGUGACACCUGCCCGGUGCUGGAAGGUUAAGAGGAGAGGUUAGGGGAGCCCCGAAGCUUUGAAUCGAAGCCCCAGUAAACGGCGGCCGUAACUAUAACGGUCCUAAGGUAGCGAAAUUCCUUGUCGGGUAAGUUCCGACCCGCACGAAUGGUGUAACGAUUCUGGGCACUGUCUCAACGCGAGACUCGGUGAAAUUUAUAUACCGGUAAAGAAGCCGGUUACCCACAGUUAGACGGAAAGACCCCGUGAACCUUCACCGUAACUUACUAUUGGGAUCUUAUUUAUCAUGUGUAGGAUAGGUGGGAGACAGAGAGCCAUGGCCGUUAGGUUGUGGGGAGUCGUUGGUGAAAUACCACCCUUGAUGAAUGAGAUUUCUAACCCGUGCCAUGAAGCUGGUGUGGGGACAAUGGUAGGCAGGCGGUUUGACUGGGGCGGUCGCCUCCUAAAGAGUAACGGAGGUGCGCGAAGGUC
rnacentral:rRNA from 1 species